rnacentral:rRNA from 1 species
GCUAUCAGAGUGUGGACCACCACUGGACAUCAGUCCAUGGUUGCUCACCGGUCCUCCCAGCACAUCCAUGUAUGACGCAGAUGAGCACAGGUUAACUUGAAAUUAUGGUUACUUUGGUGACUAACAAUGCAAUAGAAUAUUUUUUGGUCCCUUCUGCGAUACCCUCCCUCUUUCAUACCCUCCCUCUUUCAUACCCUCCCUCUUUCAUACCCUCCCUCUUUCAUACCCUCCCUCUUUCAUACCCUCCCUCUUUCAUGCCCUUACUCCACCUCACUCGGUGCUUGGUUCAGACAUUCACCGUAUCACCAGUUUUCUCUAUUCUACUUCCUCCUUGCAAAUUCCAAAUACUUCGAUUCCGGAGAGGGAGCCUGAGAAACGGCUACCACAUCCAAGGAAGGCAGCAGGCGCGCAAAUUACCCAAUCCCAAUACGGGGAGGUAGUGACAAUAAAUAACGAUACAGGGCCUUUGGUCUUGUAAUUGGAAUGAGUACAAUUUAAAAACCUUAGCAUGGAACAAUUGGAGGACAAGUCUGGUGCCAGCAGCCGCGGCAUUUCCAGCUCCAAGAGCGUAUAUUAAAGUUGUUGCAGUUAAAAAGCUCGUAGUUGAAGUUUGGUGGUANAGCUCCAAGAGCGUAUAUUAAAGUUGUUGCAGUUAAAAAGCUCGUAGUUGAAGUUUGGUGGUAACUAUUUAUUUAGUUACUGCCACCAGCCUUUGGCUGGUGUUACUUUGAGUAAAUGAAAGUGUUUAAAGCAGGCAACGCCUGAAUCUUUUAGCAUGGAAUAACAGAAUUUGACGAAUUUAUUUUGUUGGUUCUAGAAAUCGUAAUGAUUAAUAGGGACGGUCGGGGACAUCAGUAUUCAGUAGUCAGAGGUGAAAUUCUUAGAUUUAUCGAAGACUAACUACUGCGAAAGCAUUUGUCAAGGACGUUUUCACUAAUCAAGAACGAAAGUUAGGGGCUCCAAGAUGAUCAGAUACCGUCGUAGUCUUAACCAUAAACUAUGCCGACUAGGGAUCGAGUGUUGAUCAAUAUUUUGACGCACUCGGUACCUUACGAGAAAUCAAAGUUUUUGGGUUCUGGGGGGAGUAUGGUCGCAAGGCUGAAACUUAAAGGAAUUGACGGAAGGGCACCACCAGAAGUGGAACCUGCGGCUUAAUUUGAAUCAACACGGGAAAUAUCACCAGGUCCAGACACAAUAAGGAUUGACCGAUUGAGAGCUCUUUCUUGAUUUUGUGGGUGGAGGUGCAUGGCCGUUCUUAGUUGGUGGAGUGAUUUGUCGGCUUAAUUGCGAUAACGAACGAGACCUUAACCUUUAAAUAGGGUCUUUAGCUUUUGCUGAAGGAACUUCCUAAAGGGACUAUUGAUUAAAAAUCAAUUGAAGUUUGAGGCAAUAACAGGUCUGUGAUGCCCUUAGACGCGCUACACUGACAACGAGUUGACCUUAGCCGGGAGGUUUGGGAAAUCUGGAAACUCCGUCGUGAUGGGGAUAAAGCAUUGAAAUUAUUGCUUUCCUUAUCCGUCUAUAUUACAGUCCGUCUGUCGAUAUAACGGCUUCGGGUCU